AUGUGAUCCGUCCACGUCGAGGUUGAUCCUAACGGUCACAAAUUAGCCAGUUGUCCAGCUGAUCACCAAGGGUCAGGGCCUGAUGUGUAUACCCAUCAAGGAAUGGGUUCCUACCCUUGCAAAGCCGGAAAGUAACUGAGCUGAAGAAGAAUCCGAUGUGAUGCAGUUCUAUUCAUGCCGAGAUCGAUUCUGAUGUAUCCAGCUUCCCAACGAAAAAAAAGCUUUUGGGGCAGGGUUCGAUGUGUAUACCCGUCAAGGAAUGGGCUGCUGCCUCCAAGGGUAUGAACAGUCGGCAAAAUGCUGAGAAGUUGGAUGAUGGCAUCAUUUCUCUGGGGAUGAAGAUGAGGUUUUAAGUAUAUGGGGGCAUAGCGCAGCAACAUACACACUAAUU